rnacentral:rRNA from 1 species
GACGAACGCUGGCGGCGUGCUUAACACAUGCAAGUCGUACGGUAAGGCCCUUUCGGGGGUACACGAGUGGCGAACGGGUGAGUAACACGUGAGUAACCUGCCCACAACUUUGGGAUAACGCUAGGAAACUGGUGCUAAUACUGGAUAUGUGCUCCUGCUGCAUGGCGGGGGUUGGAAAGCUCCGGCGGUUGUGGAUGGACUCGCGGCCUAUCAGCUUGUUGGUGGGGUAGUGGCCUACCAAGGCGGCGACGGGUAGCCGGCCUGAGAGGGUGACCGGCCACAUUGGGACUGAGAUACGGCCCAGACUCCUACGGGAGGCAGCAGUGGGGAAGAUUGCACAAUGGGCGCAAGCCUGAUGCAGCAGCGCCGCGUGCGGGAUGACGGCCUUCGGGUUGUAAACCGCUUUCAGCAGGGACGAAGCUUUUUGUGACGGUACCUGCAGAAGAAGCACCGGCUAACUACGUG